AUCCUGCUGACGAGUCCAAAAUAGGACGAAACGCGCGUCCUGGAU
rnacentral:hammerhead_ribozyme from 1 species